rnacentral:tRNA from 1 species
UGUCCAGGGGCGGGAAUCGAACCCACAACCUUCUGCUUACCGGGCAGGUGCCAUGCCAUGUGUUGUGGGUUCGAUUCCCGCCCCUGGAC